rnacentral:rRNA from 1 species
GUGAACGCUGGCGGCAGGCCUAACACAUGCAAGUCGAACGGCAGCACAGGGGUAGCAAUACCCUGGGUGGCGAGUGGCGGACGGGUGAGGAAUACGUCGGAAUCUGCCUAUUUGUGGGGGAUAACGUAGGGAAACUUACGCUAAUACCGCAUACGCUCUACGGGGGGAAAGCGGAGGACCUUCGGGCUUCGCGCAGAUAGAUGAGCCGACGUCGGAUUAGCUAGUUGGCGGGGUAAAGGCCCACCAAGGCGACGAUCCGUAGCUGGUCUGAGAGGAUGAUCAGCCACACUGGAACUGAGACACGGUCCAGACUCCUACGGGAGGCAGCAGUGGGGAAUAUUGGACAAUGGGCGCAAGCCUGAUCCAGCCAUGCCGCGUGUGUGAAGAAGGCCUCGGUUGGUAAG